UGCAGAGGAUGCUUCGGGUGCAGCGCCGGUCUAAGUUCCUUGGAACAGGACGUCAUAGAGGGUGAGAAUCCCGUAUGUGACCGGUGACCCAGCCCGCGUGAAGCUCCUUCGACGAGUCGAGUUGUUUGGGAAUGCAGCUCCAAAUGGGUGGUAAAUUUCAUCUAAAGCUAAAUACCGGCCAGAGACCGAUAGCGCACAAGUAGAGUGAUCGAAAGAUGAAAAGCACUUUGGAAAGAGAGUUAAAAAGUACGUGAAAUUGUUGAAAGGGAAGCGCUUGCAACCAGACUUGCCUGUGGGCGAUCAGCCGUCCGUCCGGGCGGUGCACUCGCCUGCAGUCAGGCCAGCAUCGGUUCAGGCGGCCGGAUAAAGGCCCUGGGAAUGUAGCUCCCCCCGGGGAGUGUUAUAGCCCGGGGUGCAAUGCGGCCCGCCGGGACCGAGGACCGCGCUUCGGCUAGGAUGCUGGCGUAAUGGUUGCAAGCGACCCGUCUUGAAACACGGACCAAGGAGUCUAACAUCUAUGCGAGUGUUUGGGCGUCAAACCCACGCGCGGAAUGAAAGUGAACGGAGGUGGGAACCCUUCCGGGGCGCACCAUCGACCGAUCCUGAUGUCUUCGGAUGGAUUUGAGUAAGAGCAUGGCUGUUGGGACCCGAAAGAUGGUGAACUAUGCCUGAAUAGGGUGAAGCCAGAGGAAACUCUGGUGGAGGCUCGCAGCGGUUCUGACGUGCAAAUCGAUCGUCAAAUUUGGGUAUAGGGGCGAAAGACUAAUCGAACCAUCUAGUAGCUGGUUCCUGCCGAAGUUUCCCUCAGGAUAGCAGUAACGUUU
rnacentral:rRNA from 1 species